GGUACGGUACNCCUAUAAGACUGGGAUAACUUCGGGAAACCGGAGCUAAUACCGGAUAAUAUUUCGAACCGCAUGGUUCGAUAGUGAAAGGUGGUUUUGCUAUCACUUAUAGAUGGACCCGCGCCGUAUUAGCUAGUUGGUAAGGUAACGGCUUACCAAGGCGACGAUACGUAGCCGACCUGAGAGGGUGAUCGGCCACACUGGAACUGAGACACGGUCCAGACUCCUACGGGAGGCAGCAGCC
rnacentral:rRNA from 1 species